GGAGAGUUGCCGGAGUGGUUUAUCGGACCAGUUUGCUAAACUGGCAGUUAAAUGCUACAUGGGUUCGAAUCCCAUACUCUCCG
rnacentral:tRNA from 1 species